GAAAUGCGAUAAGUAGUGUGAAUUGCAGAAUUCAGUGAAUCAUCGAAUCUUUGAACGCACAUUGCGCCUCCUGGUAUUCCGGGAGGCAUGCCUGUUCGAGCGUCAUUAAAAUCACUCAAGCUUAGGUUUACCUAUUGCUUGGUCUUGGAGAUGGAAGCCAAUUCAUUGGAAUCCUCUUCGAAAUCCAAUGGCGAAGACCCUUGCUCUCCCAAGUGUAGUAAUAACUUAUGUCACUGAAGGAAGCGAGAAAUCUUCCGCCGUAACCCCCAUAUUUUCUAUGAUUGACCUCGAAUCAGGUAGGGAUACCCGCUGAACUUAA
rnacentral:misc_RNA from 1 species